GCCUUGGACUGAGCUUGUGCCACACUCAGAAGCAGUCACUGUGGUAGCCGCAGAACUGAAAUUGUGUAAGCUCCGUUUCAAGGCCCUGAGGUCCAGACCCCUGGCUAUUCUUGACCUGCAGCAGCCUUUAACCCUUAGCUCCUGCAUCUCCAGCCUGAGCUUCCACCCAGCUGCUCUUGACCAGCUUUGUUCAUCUGCUCUUCAUGCCUUCAGUAUUAAAGUUGCCUGAAGGCUUGCAGGCCAGUAGUUCUUCUUUCUUGGACCCUGCUCUGAUGUUCCCAGCUGUUGUUAUUAGGAAUCAACCAGUAGAAGGGAAGAAACCGAUCUAACAAGCGAGGACACCUGGGGAAGUUUUACAAUCUAACAGGUAGGCAGGAAGAUAUGGUACUGGAUUCAGGCACUUGGUUAGCUCUCUAUUCUCAGUGGAGUGGGAAGUAUAAGCAUCCUUGUAAGAAUGAGAAUAGAUGAAGAGUAAGGAAGUGUUGGAGUUUUAAUGGUAGAGGUGAAAGUAUAAAAACAUUGUCCAGACAAGUAGAUGUGACUGAACUAAGGAAGCAUAGUGUGAUUGUUGGGUAGCAUUAAGAACCCAUUUAAGGUUAGUGGUCAUAAAUUUUUCAGUUUUGGCCAGAUGGUAUGAUGGGGCAUGAUUUGCCAGUGAUGUUUUGAGUGAAGAGAAGUGUGGAAUAGGCAGAGAGUUGGGAUUAACUGUGGUUGGGAUUUUAUCAGCGGAGAAUGGCAAAGCCAAAAAUGGCAAGGACAUUAGAGACUUAUGUGAAAAAGUGUUGCUUAUGAUGGACCAAGGAAUUUAAGCUGAAUAGGGUAGAAAUUUUAGACAAGAUUAGUACACUGGGCAGUGAAAAUAUGGUAGAGACAACAGAUUAUAACUCUGGAUGUGGUUGCAUAAUUAAUUAUUGCAGCCAAGCUAGCAGAAGGUAUUUCUUUACAAGCAUUUUGUUUUGAUCCUGCAAGUACCAUGCUGUAGCAAGUUCAACUGUUUUUAGAGUCCAGUAUUUUUUCAAUUAAACUACAUUCAGACUCAUUUUGGUCCUAAUUUUAAAAUUCUUUCUCCAUUUUACCACCAACAAACACACUAAUUAAAUAUUGAGUUAGCAAAAUGAUUGAAAAUAGAUAGUACUGAUAUUUCCAAGUCAAUUUCCUUCUGCUACUUGGUUUUAUUCCUGAAUCCAAGAACUGAAACGUAUUCAAUGUAAGUUAAAUACAUUUAGAAAAUGGGAAUAUUUAUAAUAAUAAAGCUUCAAGAAAGCAAAUGUAGUAAAGUUGAGUAUCA
rnacentral:lncRNA from 1 species